rnacentral:rRNA from 1 species
AUGCUGGAGGUAUCAGAAGUGCGAAUGCUGACAUAAGUAACGAUAAAGCGGGUGAAAAGCCCGCUCGCCGGAAGACCAAGGGUUCCUGUCCAACGUUAAUCGGGGCAGGGUGAGUCGACCCCUAAGGCGAGGCCGAAAGGCGUAGUCGAUGGGAAACAGGUUAAUAUUCCUGUACUUGGUGUUACUGCGAAGGGGGGACGGAGAAGGCUAUGUUGGCCGGGCGACGGUUGUCCCGGUUUAAGCGUGUAGGCUGGUUUUCCAGGCAAAUCCGGAAAAUCAAGGCUGAGGCGUGAUGACGAGGCACUACGGUGCUGAAGCAACAAAUGCCCUGCUUCCAGGAAAAGCCUCUAAGCAUCAGGUAACAUCAAAUCGUACCCCAAACCGACACAGGUGGUCAGGUAGAGAAUACCAAGGCGCUUGAGAGAACUCGGGUGAAGGAACUAGGCAAAAUGGUGCCGUAACUUCGGGAGAAGGCACGCUGAUAUGUAGGUGAAGUCCCUCGCGGAUGGAGCUGAAAUCAGUCGAAGAUACCAGCUGGCUGCAACUGUUUAUUAAAAACACAGCACUGUGCAAACACGAAAGUGGACGUAUACGGUGUGACGCCUGCCCGGUGCCGGAAGGUUAAUUGAUGGGGUCAGCGCAAGCGAAGCUCUUGAUCGAAGCCCCGGUAAACGGCGGCCGUAACUAUAACGGUCCUAAGGUAGCGAAAUUCCUUGUCGGGUAAGUUCCGACCUGCACGAAUGGCGUAAUGAUGGCCAGGCUGUCUCCACCCGAGACUCAGUGAAAUUGAACUCGCUGUGAAGAUGCAGUGUACCCGCGGCAAGACGGAAAGACCCCGUGAACCUUUACUAUAGCUUGACACUGAACAUUGAGCCUUGAUGUGUAGGAUAGGUGGGAGGCUUUGAAGUGUGGACGCCAGUCUGCAUGGAGCCGACCUUGAAAUACCACCCUUUAAUGUUUGAUGUUCUAACGUUGACCCGUGAUCCGGGUUGCGGACAGUGUCUGGUGGGUAGUUUGACUGGGGCGGUCUCCUCCUAAAGAGUAACGGAGGAGCACGAAGGUUGGCUAAUCCUGGUCGGACAUCAGGAGGUUAGUGCAAUGGCAUAAGCCAGCUUGACUGCGAGCGUGACGGCGCGAGCAGGUGCGAAAGCAGGUCAUAGUGAUCCGGUGGUUCUGAAUGGAAGGGCCAUCGCUCAACGGAUAAAAGGUACUCCGGGGAUAACAGGCUGAUACCGCCCAAGAGUUCAUAUCGACGGCGGUGUUUGGCACCUCGAUGUCGGCUCAUCACAUCCUGGGGCUGAAGUAGGUCCCAAGGGUAUGGCUGUUCGCCAUUUAAAGUGGUACGCGAGCUGGGUUUAGAACGUCGUGAGACAGUUCGGUCCCUAUCUGCCGUGGGCGCUGGAGAACUGAGGGGGGCUGCUCCUAGUACGAGAGGACCGGAGUGGACGCAUCACUGGUGUUCGGGUUGUCAUGCCAAUGGCACUGCCCGGUAGCUAAAUGCGGAAGAGAUAAGUGCUGAAAGCAUCUAAGCACGAAACUUGCCCCGAGAUGAGUUCU